rnacentral:lncRNA from 1 species
GGGCGGCUGGGCGAGCCGCUCUGAGCACCGCGAGCGCACUGCGCGGCUGCCGGCCCGCGCCCUUAACCCUUCGGUGCGCGCUGCCUGCCCGGGCUCCCGGCCCCCGGGGAAGCCGGCGCGUUUCCCCAAGACCGGCCCGGGAUCCGCGGCCGCGGGGCGGGAGGGGAGACCCAAGCCGGAGGGGACAGUUCUUCCAGGUUUGGGAAAGGGGCGGGGAGCUGAAGCGAUGAGGUAAUUUGAGUGGUGACCGGUCGGUCCUCGCGCGCCUCCCCGGGUCCCUGCAUCUAGUUGGAGGGGACAGAGCGACAGCGGGGUGCAACUUGGGCACCCCGGAGGACUCUCCGAGGGGUGUCGAUCUGCCAGUCCGAACCCCUGAAAUACACCAGCGGGGAGGGGAGGGGGGCCACUUCUGAUCCCGACGUGCCCUUCGUCCCCAGGCGCUCCGUGAAGCGUCUAGGAGGGUUGACUCUGAUCUUCAUGCUUGUUAACCCUCAAACCGGUUUCGCCUCGGCGUUCCGGAACCCAGCUCGCCGAGCCGCGGGGAUCGCCUUUCGUGCAAUUCAGGAAAGUUUUAAGGGUCCCCCCGUCUGCACCUGCACCCUGACCUUUCCUGCCAGUGAGAGCUGAUGACCUCCCGGUCCUCCUUUCUCUUUCAGCAGAUCCGGAAAUCUGCUUUGGGUCUGGAUCUGCCCAGCUCCGACCCGGGUAGACGACCCGCGCACCUCUCUCGCCGCCCAUUCAGGAUCACUAAUUUCAUCGGAAAUGAGGUAACCAGUGCAGGAGACAGAGAAAGCAAAUCGAGCAUCAAAUGGCAGUUCUCGUGAAUCCACGCUAAAGGACUUCCUCUGGACUCAAUUCCUAAGUGCGGUUCUCAACCCCUCACCACCCCGCCCCUCUGCAGGUACCACCGCCGAGAGUUAGCUCGAACGGGGGAGGGGUGGUACCUGGCCAACAGGUGUAGCGCCUGGAAAGAAGAGAAGGUUCAUCCACGCUAAAGGGAGCUCAGUGCGCCUUCUGCGGGCUGCAGAUAAUUCUGGAAAGACCGGGUUGAAUAAUUCCCACCAGCCAUUCCAGCUUUGGGAAAUCGGAAGACCUGGCACAGGGGAGAGAAUUUGCUCAGGAAAAAGGUCUAAAAAGUUGCAGAGGUUUAAAAUGGGUAAGCAUAGAGAACAACACAUCACUACCAGUGCUGUCAUAACUUUAGUAUGUGCAGUUACCGUCAAACCACUCAAAAUUACAAUGUCAUUUGUCUUCUUUGUCUCUCUUUUGUUUUCACAAGUCACGUGGCAAAAUCAACAAAUACUACUUCAUCCCUCUGAGGAUUCAGCUGUGGAAAAAGCAUCCGCUAGCUCAUCUCUAGGGUAGCUAUUCUUAGCUUGCUUUGAUUUCUCUCAUACGAUACGUACCCAUGCUUAUUAAGCUGUUUGUUUGCCUCCUUUGUCAUAUUCCUCUAUGAAUAUGACUAUUGCUGUGUGGCAGACUCCAGUGAAAUGCAGAGUUACCCACUGCC